rnacentral:rRNA from 1 species
GACGAACGCUGGCGGCGUGCUUAACACAUGCAAGUCGAACGGAAAGGCCCUGCUUUUGUGGGGUGCUCGAGUGGCGAACGGGUGAGUAACACGUGAGUAACCUGCCCUUGACUUUGGGAUAACUUCAGGAAACUGGGGCUAAUACCGGAUAGGAGCUCCUGCUGCAUGGUGGGGGUUGGAAAGUUUCGGCGGUUGGGGAUGGACUCGCGGCUUAUCAGCUUGUUGGUGGGGUAGUGGCUUACCAAGGGUUUGACGGGUAGCCGGCCUGAGAGGGUGACCGGCCACAUUGGGACUGAGAUACGGACCAGACUGCUACGGGAGGCAGCAGUGGGGAAUAUUGCACAAUGGGCGGAAGCCUGAUGCAGCAACGCCGCGUGCGGGAUGACGGCCUUCGGGUUGUAAACCGCUUUCGCCUGUGACGAAGCGUGAGUGACGGUAAUGGGUAAAGAAGCACCGGCUAACUACGUG